rnacentral:rRNA from 1 species
AACGAACGCUGGCGGCAUGCCUAACACAUGCAAGUCGAACGAGACCUUCGGGUCUAGUGGCGCACGGGUGCGUAACGCGUGGGAACCUGCCCUUAGGUUCGGAAUAACUCCCCGAAAGGGGUGCUAAUACCGGAUAAUGUCUUCGGACCAAAGAUUUAUCGCCUUUGGAUGGGCCCGCGUUGGAUUAGCUAGUUGGUAGGGUAAAAGCCUACCAAGGCGACGAUCCAUAGCUGGUCUGAGAGGAUGAUCAGCCACACUGGGACUGAGACACGGCCCAGACUCCUACGGGAGGCAGCAGUGGGGAAUAUUGGACAAUGGGCGAAAGCCUGAUCCAGCAAUGCCGAGUGAGUGAUGAAGGCCUUAGGGUUGUAAAGCUCUUUUACCCGGGAUGAUACUGACAGUACCGGGAGAAUAAGCUCCGGCUAACUCCGUG